AUCCAGCUGACGAGUCCCAAAUAAGACGAUAUUCACAUUGUGGAU
rfam:Schistosoma margrebowiei strain Zambia genome assembly, scaffold: SMRZ_scaffold0002178